GCCCAACCCUCCCCUGGCUGCGGUGAGCGCUGGGCCCAACCCCCGGCCUGGAGCAGCGCCCCAACUCCGAGCACCGUGGAGCACCGGCUGCCAGCUGAGACCCCAGAGGGGUAACUAACGGCCUGAGGAAGGCAUUUCUUCGGGGAACAUGGCGUGCCCGUCGUGGCUACGUUCUGCCAAGCCCUGUGACGUUGGAGGGGAGCCGCCUGCAUCCCCCGCUCAGCCAGUGUUUCUAGACUCCGAGACAUCUGGAACUCGGAAGUGAGGCCAGGGCUCCAGGAAGACUCCCUGAUGACGCACUGGCCCGCAGCCCAGGCUCAGGCCACAAAGAGGAACAAGAGCAUUCAACACUGAGGAGCCUGCCUCUGCAAAGGCAGGACCCACAUGCUGGAUGUGGAGCUGGAUGGUUCCACGUGGCAAGGUUUGGGAGGCUUCUGAGAACCUGGCCUAAUGAUUCCUGUUUCCUCCCUUUUCAGAUUUUCUGAAUGGUCUUGCUUCUUUGUCUAUCUUGUCUGAUUUUCUCCUGUCUGACCUUUUCCUGGUUAAAAAUCUGGGGGAAAAUGACGGACUCCAAGCCGAUCACCAAGAGUAAAUCAGAAGCAAAC
rnacentral:lncRNA from 1 species